rnacentral:lncRNA from 1 species
CGCCAACACCCAACCCCUCCCACUGCAGGCUGAGCUGAGUUCCUGAUAUGCUGCCAGCCCAACAGCAUAGCCAAGGGCCCUGGGUCUCUCUGCAGACCUGCCCUGACCCCACUUAUGUGCAUACACAGACACACAGACACACACAGACACACACAGACACAGACACACACACACACACACACACACACACACACGAAGGUGUGUGUCAGUUGUCCAGAUACACAUAAAGCUCAUCCAUGGCCAAGUCCCUGCCUCUGCCUGCUGGGACCAGACUCCACUGUCAUGAGGAUGACACCCACCGCCUGUGCUCUUCUGCUGGCUCUAAUCUGCAGCGUCCAGCUGGGUGAGAAAGAAGCGGGCAGGGCUGAGAGGAAACAGGUGGCCCUGCUCCUUCACCGUCAUUGCCAUCCCAGGGUCUCAGCUGUCACUAUUGCAGACAUUUGCCAGGGGAGGUUUCAGUGAAUUCUGACCUCUGCUGCUUUCUUAUCUUGCCUCAUCCACCACAGGGGAUGCCUGCCUGGAUUUCUAUAAGUUGUUUGGGAGAGUUGCUUUUGCAUACCCAGAGGACCUGAAGCGGGAGCUUGCUCAAUACAACCCCAGCCCCCUGACAGAGGAGUCCUUCCUCAAGUUCUAGCAAUGCUUUGCCUCUGUUUCAUUCCCAGAAAGCCUUGCUGUUGUUGGAAUAUGGUAAGUGUGCCCUGGGGAACCUGCACAUGCUGCACAGCCACAAGUCCCAGGCCUUAUGCCCUGCACUUACCUUCCCUUCCUGCUUGCCAUAUCCUGAGCAGGAAGCCACAUCCCAGGAUGCUCAUGAUCAGAUGAAGGUGCCCACAGGCCUCAACAGGGCCUCCUGCCUCACCUUUUUCAGCCCUGAACCCAGACACUGCAACCCUGCAAGGGGAGAACCUCUGCCCCUGGUGCCCGGGAGAGGCCCAGGGACACAGGGAACCACAAUCACUACAUCAAUGCACUGAUGAUGAGCACACAGCAACACACACUCACACAGGAUGCUGUUAACAGCAACACACACACUCCAUGCCUGCACAGGCACAUGCAUACACGUGUGUUACACCAACACAUGCAGAGUCACACUCAAGCAGGAGUCACAACCCACACUCACUGUGUUUGUCCAGAGCCUGGGAUCCCCAAGAAAUGGACAGACCUUAAGGAGCUCCUCUGACCUCUGGGACUGGGUGUUAAUGAUGGGUCUGGGGAUGCUUUCACAGAGGCUCCCAGGUCCCCACUUUAUUUCUUUCCCAACAGUCUAGGAUCGUUGUCAGCGAUGACUGCAAAGAUGUGUAGAUACUUCCUUCUGAUCUGAGGACCCCUGCAACCCACCUGGCCCUCCCUUCCUCAGGGCUCCCCACACUCCUGGCCUGACUCUAUCCAUCAACAAACAAUCCCCAGUAAACACCUGCAGCUCAGCUCUGUAUUCUGGCGUCUCUGUGGGGUUGGCUGU